ensembl:snoRNA
UGCAGUCAAGUCAAAUUCAGCUCCCAUCUUCUCGUGGUGGAGGCUGGCCCAGAUGUCUGCUACACCAAGUUCUGCUGUUCAUGGGCCUUGUGGCCCCUGCCCUGCCACAUGGGGAUAAGUUUGUCUGUGGAUAUUG